AAUAUCCAUAGUAGUUUAAGUUAAUAAAACUAAAAGCCUUCAAAGCUUUAAUUAAGAAUGGUCUUAAAUUCUA
rnacentral:tRNA from 1 species